rnacentral:lncRNA from 1 species
CCGGGAGGCAGAGGUUGCAGUGAGCCGAGAUGGUACCACUGCACUCCAGCCUGGGCAAUAGGGCAAGACUCCGUCUCAAAAAACAAACAAAAACAAAACAAAACAAAACAAAACAGUAUCUCAUGUUUCUUAUUGGCUGUGACCAAGUAACUUCAUUGCUUUCAACCUUGGAUCUGCUCACCUGUAGAACUGAGACAUUAUUUGUUGUGAGAUUUAAAAAAGAAACAUGUUCAUUUCCUUCCUUUGGGGCUCGGAAGGAAUCAGAUGGGCGUCUUGCAGCUCCGAUCCUGAUGAAGAAUUGUAGCUGCUGUGCCUCAAGACAGAUAAGCACAGGUCGUCCCAGAGGGGAUGCCACCUUGGGGACUGUGAACCUCCGCUGAGGCCAGGCCAUGCCCUGCCCUGUGUCUGUAUCUGGAACUGCGGGAUUUCUCUGAUCUGCCAGGGAAAGGCCUGCCACCUCGUGGCCACUUCAGGAACUGCUCCAAAGGCAGUCUGCUCUUGGGAACCUACCUGGUCAGGUAGCUCCUUGAGGUCUGGAACUGCACCACAGUGCAAGUUAUCUUCACGUGGAGGUGAAGCUGCCUGUAUGGAAGACUCUUGGAUCAGUCGUCUGAGCACAUGUCCAGCAAUGGGCAUGGGUGGGCUAGCCAGGGACUGGGGGUGCCGGAAGAGCCGACUGUACAGCACGUGGUGCCCCUAACAAGGAUUGAGUGGUGUUUUUAAAAAGAAAAAAAGGUCGUGCAGAUGGUCUGACAGUCUGUCGACCGUGGGCGCGGUGCUCAUAGCAGCUGAGCACUGCCGGGGUACCAGGCUGUGUGCUGGGUGCUUCAAAGAUGUCCUCUUGUGGAUCAGCCCAUCUGUGGCGAGGAGGGGACCGGGCUCAGCCAGGUUAGGUGACUUGCACAAGGUCAUGUGGGUGAAAGGAAGGCAGAACUCUUGUGUAUUUCUCCUGACCCCAGAUUCUGCGUCAAGGCUGAAGCCAGAACCCACACGUGUCCAGCGCAGGGUGAUUGCUGCCAUGAGCUGCAUUGCUGUGAUCCUCUGGCGAGGGCGUGGAUUUUCAUCCUUUUAUUCAAUUUUGAAAGAAGCAAAUUUAGAAAGAUACGAUAUGAUGGGUGUGGCAGACAGAAUUCUAAAGGUGGGCCCACUGAUUCGUACCCCUGGCUGUUCAGUUAAACACUAGCCUAGGUGCUGCUGUGCAGGGACUUUGACGAAGGAAUGAAAGUCCCAAGCCAUCUGACCUUGAGAUCAGAGAUUAUCUGGUGGGCUUGACCUCAUGAGCCUAAUGAAAGCAGGGAGCUUUUCCAGCUGUCAGCAGAAAAGAAGGUCAAAUUCAAUGUGUGAGAAAGGCUGGAAUUAACAUUGCUGGUUUGAAGGAGGAAGGGGUUGUGUGAGAAGGUGUGUGAGUGACUUAUAGGAGCAGAGAGUGGCCCCCAGCCAUGGAAUGAGGACCCCAGGUCUGCAGGCACCAGGAGCUGGACUUUCAGGGCCACCUGAAUGCACCCAGAAGCGGAUUCUCCUCCAGAGCCUCCAGUUGCUAUAAUCAACAUCCCUGGACCCAUCGCGCAGAAGAAACUAAGGUUCCCAGGUUAAGAGACUUGCCUGGAAAAGGGUUAACUGACAGCUUGGCAGCAGAGCCACCGCUCCUUCCCCCUUGCAUGCUGGUUCCAAACCGAAAAUGAUGUUCUGGGUAAGAAAAAACAGCAGCAUAAGGGACCACAGACAUUCGAGUUGAAAUAAUUUGAAAUAACUUUCUGCAAAAAGAGCCAGACUUCAUGAGAGGUGGUUUAAUUGGGAUAAUGAGUUGCACGGGGAAUGAGCAAAUGCAAAGUUAAUUAACAGUCAUUUCCCUGAGACUAUUUGAAGGAGAGAGAUGGCUGCCUGGACCUUGUGGAAUCCAGGUGUGAUUCAGGUGCCUGCCGUUGGCAUGAUCAUUUCUUCCCUGUUGCAGCCAGGGCAGCUGCAGAGGUGGGUGUGAGGUGGGCCUGGGCUGGCCUGAAGGACAGGGAAGGAAGGAGGAGGCAAACCUCAUGGAGCUCGAGGAGAUCUUCUUAAAAGCCCAUGGAUGUGAGAGAUAAUUGGACUCAAAAGCUGAUUAAAUUGUUCCUUACAAGCCUGUGAUUUGAGCCCUCCUGUGUGUGGG